rnacentral:rRNA from 1 species
GACGAACGCUGGCGGCGCGCCUCAUACAUGCAAGUCGAGCGAGAACCGGGACUUCGGUCCUGGGGAAAGCGGCGAACGGGUGCGUAACACGUGAGCAACCUGCCCCGAAGACCGGGACAACCCGGGGAAACCCGGGCUAAUACCGGAUGCCCUCACCGGGCCGCAUGAUCUGGUGAGGAAAUGGAUUCCGCUUCGGGAUGGGCUCGCGGCCUAUCAGCUUGUUGGUGGGGUAACGGCCUACCAAGGCGACGACGGGUAGCUGGUCUGAGAGGACGAUCAGCCACACUGGGACUGAGACACGGCCCAGACUCCUACGGGAGGCAGCAGUAGGGAAUCUUGCGCAAUGGGGGAAACCCUGACGCAGCGACGCCGCGUGC